rnacentral:rRNA from 1 species
AGGGUUCGAUUCUGGCUCAGGAUGAACGCUGGCGGCGUGCUUAACACAUGCAAGUCGAACGGGAUCCCGGGGGUUCGCUUCCGGGUGAGAGUGGCGAACGGGUGAGUAAUGCGUGACCGACCUGCCCCAUACACCGGAAUAGCUCCUGGAAACGGGUGGUAAUGCCGGAUGCUCCGGUUGGAUGCAUGUCCUUCCGGGAAAGGUUCCAUCGGUAUGGGAUGGGGUCGCGUCCUAUCAGCUUGAUGGCGGGGUAACGGCCCACCAUGGCUUCGACGGGUAGCCGGCCUGAGAGGGCGACCGGCCACAUUGGGACUGAGAUACGGCCCAGACUCCUACGGGAGGCAGCAGUGGGGAAUAUUGCACAAUGGGCGCAAGCCUGAUGCAGCGACGCCGCGUGCGGGAUGGAGGCCUUCGGGUUGUAAACCGCUUUUGAUCGGGAGCAAGCCCUUCGGGGUGAGUGUACCUUUCGAAUAAGCACCGGCUAACUACGUGCCAGCAGCCGCGGUAAUACGUAGGGUGCAAGCGUUAUCCGGAAUUAUUGGGCGUAAAGGGCUCGUAGGCGGUUCGUCGCGUCCGGUGUGAAAGCCCAUCGCUUAACGGUGGGUCUGCGCCGGGUACGGGCGGGCUGGAGUGCGGUAGGGGAGACUGGAAUUCCCGGUGUAACGGUGGAAUGUGUAGAUAUCGGGAAGAACACCAAUGGCGAAGGCAGGUCUCUGGGCCGUCACUGACGCUGAGGAGCGAAAGCGUGGGGAGCGAACAGGAUUAGAUACCCUGGUAGUCCACGC